rnacentral:rRNA from 1 species
UACGUAGGGGGCUAGCGUUGUCCGGAAUCAUUGGGCGUAAAGCGCGUGUAGGCGGCCCGAUAAGUCCGCUGUGAAAGUCCAGGGCUCAACCCUGGGAUGCCGGUGGAUACUGUCGGGCUCGAGUCCGGAAGAGGCGAGUGGAAUUCCUGGUGUAGCGGUGAAAUGCGCAGAUAUCUGGAGGAACAUCGGUGGCGAAGGCGGCAUCCUGGACUGGUAUUGACGCUGAGGCGCGAAAGCCAGGGGAGCAAACGGG